AAGGAGAAGGAUGUGCCCACACCACCAUGUUGGUGUGGUGAUGUUUGCAAGCUGAAGGUGUCCACUGACCGCAACAAGUCAUGGACAGAAGGUAGAAGGUUUUUCGUGUGUCCCAACUAUGCACAUGAUCGUCGAAGGCCAACUAACGCAUAUGACAUACCACCGGUAUGUUAG
rnacentral:rRNA from 1 species